AUUCAUAUGAUGAGAACCUUUUUAUUUUAUACAGUUAUCCCUGUCUUAAGAGAUCAUGUCGAGAAUUUUAUAUCUGAAGUGAAU
rnacentral:snoRNA from 1 species